UCGAUGAAGAACGCAGCGAAAUGCGAUAAGUAAUGUGAAUUGCAGAAUUCAGUGAAUCAUCGAAUCUUUGAACGCACAUUGCGCCCUUUGGUAUUCCGAAGGGCAUGCCUGUUCGAGCGUCAUUACAACCCUCAAGCUCUGCUUGGUAUUGGGCACCGU
rnacentral:rRNA from 1 species